rnacentral:lncRNA from 1 species
GUCCUAGCAUAGGAUAGGAGUGAUCCUAGGGUAGAAGCAAUGCAUAGCUCUCCACUGGCUCGAGAUUCAGGCGAUGAGGAUUUUGAGGGGCUUGAUUGGAGCUUCGGAUUCUUGAAGAUACAAGGUGGAGCAAGGAACCAGAGUCAGAACUGAAGCUGCGGGAGAAGAAGCAGUCUCAGCAGGUUAGUCAACUCAAAUUGAGAUUGAGUCGACUAAGUCAUAGAUGGGUCAACUCUGUCCCAAUGU